rnacentral:rRNA from 1 species
GCAGGCCUAAUACAUGCAAGUCGAGCGCACCUUCGGGUGAGCGGCGGACGGGUGAGUAACGCGUGGGAACGUGCCCUUUGGUUCGGAACAACACAGGGAAACUUGUGCUAAUACCGAAUGUGCCCUUCGGGGGAAAGAUUUAUCGCCAUUGGAGCGGCCCGCGUUGGAUUAGGUAGUUGGUGAGGUAAAGGCUCACCAAGCCUACGAUCCAUAGCUGGUCUGAGAGGAUGAUCAGCCACACUGGGACUGAGACACGGCCCAGACUCCUACGGGAGGCAGCAGUAGGGAAUCUUGCGCAAUGGGCGAAAGCCUGACGCAGCCAUGCCGCGUGAAUGAUGAAGGUCUUAGGAUUGUAAAAUUCUUUCACCGGGGAAGAUAAUGACGGUACCCGGAGAAGAAGCCCCGGCUAACUUCGUGCCAGCAGCCGCGGUAAUACGAAGGGGGCUAGCGUUGCUCGGAAUUACUGGGCGUAAAGGGCGCGUAGGCGGAUAUUUAAGUUAGA